GAAUAUUGCGCAAUGGCCGAAAGGCUGACGCAGCGACGCCGCGUGGAGGAUGAAAUCCGUUCGGAUGUAAACUCCUUUUGCCGGGGAAGAACAGCCGCUUCUGGCGGCACUGACGGUACCUGGCGAAUACGGAACGGCCAACUACGUUCCAGCAGCCGCGGUAAUACUUAGGAUCCGAGCGUUGUCCGGAUUUACUGGGUGUAAAGGGCGUGUAGGUGGGCCUUUAAGUCGAUGGUGAAAUCCUGCAGCUUAACUGCAGAACUGCUUUCGAUACUGGAGGUCUUGAGUGCGGCAGAGGGAGACGGAAUUCAUGGUGUAGCGGUGAAAUGUGUAGAUAUCAUGAAGAACACCGGUUGCGAAGGCGGUCUCCUGGUCCGUUACUGACACUGAGGCGCGAAAGCGUGGGUAGCAAACAGG
rnacentral:rRNA from 1 species